rnacentral:misc_RNA from 1 species
UUCUGGAUCUUGACCAUACUGUAAACACUUGACAAAAGCACAAUGAAGACAGUGCCGGCGAUGGUCUUGACCAUAACAGGUCCCCUACCUCGCUUGACCCGAUCCAAAGUCAUGAUCACAAGCUUCCUCAAAGGGGUUUUGAAUAGAAGCGUCAAAAUUAACGCCAUUUCGGCAAAGAUUACAGUGUAAAGGAGCUGUAUCAUGUUGUGUAUAGUUCAGCACUAGAUCGACGAGAUUGAAUAGCAGCAGAGUACACAGAGAGAUUGAGAGAGAGAGAGAAACAGAGAGAGAGAG